rnacentral:rRNA from 1 species
UACAGAGGGUGCAAGCGUUGUUCGGAAUUAUUGGGCGUAAAGGGCGCGUAGGCGGUGCUGUAAGUCUGUAGUGAAAUCUCUGGGCUCAACUCAGAGUCUGCUAUAGAAACUGCAGUGCUGGAGUGUGGGAGAGGUGAGUGGAAUUCCCGGUGUAGCGGUGAAAUGCGUAGAUAUCGGGAGAACACCUGUGGCGAAAGCGGCUCACUGGACCACAACUGACGCUGAUGCGCGAAAGCUAGGGGAGCAAACAGG